UGGCGAAAGGCGGCCCCCCUGGACAAAAGAUGACGCUCAGGCACGAAAGCGUGGGGGAGCAAACAGGAUUAGAUACCCCUGGUAGUCCACGCCGUAAACGAUGUCUACUCGGAGUUUUGGUGUCUUGAACACUGGGCUCUCAAGCUAACGCAUUAAAGUAGACCGCCCUGGGGAGUACGGCCCGCAAGGUUAAAACUCAAAUGAAUUGACGGGGGCCCGCACAAGCGGUGGAGCAUGUGGUUUAAUUCGAUGCAACGCGAAGAACCUUACCUACUCUUGACAUCCAGAGAACUUUCCAGAGAUGGAUUGGUGCCUUCGGGAACUCUGAGACAGGUGCUGCAUGGCUGUCGUCAGCUCGUGUUGUGAAAUGUUGGGUUAAGUCCCGCAACGAGCGCAACCCUUAUCCUUACUUGCCAGCGGGUAAUGCCGGGAACUUUAGGGAGACUGCCGGUGAUAAACCGGAGGAAGGUGGGGACGACGUCAAGUCAUCAUGGCCCUUACGAGUAGGGCUACACACGUGCUACAAUGGUCGGUACAGAGGGUUGCGAAGCCGCGAGGUGGAGCUAAUCUCAUAAAGCCGGUCGUAGUCCGGAUUGGAGUCUGCAACUCGACUCCAUGAAGUCGGAAUCGCUAGUAAUCGUGGAUCAGAAUGCCACGGUGAAUACGUUCCCGGGCCUUGUACACACCGCCCGUCACACCAUGGGAGUGGGCUGCACCAGAAGUAGAUAGCUUAACCUUCGGGAGGGCGUUUACCACGGUGUGGUUCAUGACUGGGGUGAAGUCGUAACAAGGUAACCG
rnacentral:rRNA from 1 species